rnacentral:misc_RNA from 1 species
UCAUCAUAUCAAGCUUGGCUUGUUGUUGGGCCCUUUUUGUCACCUGGUGACAGGUCCAAAAGACAAUCACCAGUGUCAUACAGACUCCAUAUGCAACGAGCUUAUAACAGCACGCAUCUGGUGGUCGCGUGGCCCGGUUUUCACUUUUAAAUUUCUAA